GGCUGGUUAGCUCAGUCGGUUAGACCAUGAUGCUGAUAACACCAAGGUCGUGGGUUCAGUCCCCAUUUCGUCCU
rnacentral:tRNA from 1 species